rnacentral:rRNA from 1 species
UGCGCAGGUGGGAUUGUAAGUCAGUGGUGAAAGUCUGCCGCUUAACGGUAGGACUGCCAUUGAUACUGCAAUUCUUGAGUAUGGUUGAGGUAAGUGGAAUGUGUAGUGUAGCGGUGAAAUGCAUAGAUAUUACACAGAACACCGAUUGCGAAGGCAGCUUACUAAGCCAUUACUGACGCUGAGGCACGAAAGCGUGGGGAGCGAACAGGAUUAGAUACCCUGGUAGUCC